UGCACGUAAGGUUCUGAAGAACCCCAUAUACAUGGUGUGAACCUUACACGUGAAGGUUCAUGUUUUUUAUCCCUUGGUUUUUUCUCUUACUCGUUAUGCAUCAGGGCAUCACCAGUCGGUCGUCGCUCUCUCUCGCUGGUUCUCCGUCCCAUCCAGAUCCCACCGCCCGCAGCCCUUCCCCUACUCAACGAGGCAUCUCUCCCUCCUUUUCCCAGCGAGCCGCACCGCCCCCAUCCCCAUCUCGGUGCUCCUCAUUCCUUUAUCAUGCUACCCAACGGGCUCCCUCCCUCUUCUGCUACACGAAUACCGGCGAGAUCCGAGAGACGGGGCACUGUAGAUAUCGUCAUCAACCUCUGUGCCUUGUGCGGAACGUCCCUUCCCACCUCGUGCUCCUCCAACCGUCCCUUUCUCGAGCUUAUUGUUGCCGUCGUAGUAGUGCGCACACCCCCUCUGUUCCAUCUCCCUAUCUUUCUCCCAAAAAACAAUAAUGUGCAGCUGCAUCUGAUGUCCGAGAUCACUGAGGUCCGAGGGGGAGGGGCCGUUCCGUGCUUGCGCCCCGGUACACAGCUCAGUGCGUGGGGAAGGCCAUCAGAAGCCCCGUGGAGCAUGGAAGGCAAGCUGGAGAUGCAUAUCUCCCUCGACCUUACGCGGAGGGCAGCAACUAGAGGUUCAAACCACUCAAAACAUGUGAGAUUUGAGCGUAAUAAUGGGAUUCACCAGCGUCACAGCAGCACUGGCAUGGAUGAUGCCAGCUGUUGUGGCAACCAGCCCAGGAGUGAGCUCGCGCUGCAUGCACGCCAGUGGCCAGCACGACUACUACCUCAUCUCCCUCCUGCAUGAGGACAGCUUAUUAUUCACGACUCCGCUCCUCUCUUUCCGUUCCCUCUCUCUUUUUUUUGGUGACUUUGCAUCAGUAGUGCAUGGAUUGGAUGUGGUCUAGUAUUAAUGGUUUUAGUGUGCAGGAACAGUUCAACUUGAACUUGGAUUUGAUCUUAGUGAUUUUGGGCCUGUUGUGCAAUAAGUAUCAUGGAAACUUGCGCACAUGACUAGCGUUCAUUUGUUCUUGUCCUUUUCUAUAUGAAGUAAGCAAAUCAAUUUGUCUCCCA